UUUGAUCCUGGCUCAUGACGAACGCUGGCGGUGCGCCUUAUGCAUGCAAGUCGAGCGAAGCUUUUCAGUAGUUUACUACAGAAAAUGACUGAGCGGCGAACGGGUGAGUAACGCGUGAGCAAUCUACCUUAGUUACAGGGAUAGCCCGAGGAAACUCGGAUUAAUACCUGAUAUUCUUUAUUUCUCGCAUGAGAAUAAAAGGAAAGGUCAGCCGAACUAAGAUGAGCUCGCGUUCUAUCAGCUAGUUGGUGAGGUAAAAGCUUACCAAGGCUACGACGGAUAGCUGGUCUGAGAGGACGAUCAGCCACACUGGGACUGAGACACGGCCCAGACUCCUACGGGAGGCUGCCGCAGGGAAUAUUGUGCAAUGAACGAAAGUUCGACACAGCGACACCGCGUGUGGGAUGACGGAUCUACGUUUGUAAACCACUUUCAGGAGGGAAGAAAAUGAC
rnacentral:rRNA from 1 species